GGCGGGCGUCUCGGGCGGAAGUCCCACCUCCCGAGGCGCACGGGCAGUGCGGGUGGAAGGCGAAGCCGCGGGGAGAGGGGCGGCUCCGAGGCCCCUCCCUCGACUUCCUGCGGAAGGGCUGGCGUGCAGUGAGAUCCACGGAACGUGAAGUCAGCUGUCCUCACUGAUAAGACAGGUAUGGGCUAACGGGAACGAGCCUGGGGCAGCCCUGUGGCUCGUUGGCACAGCAUCUGCAAAGGUGGUGAUAACGGCCUCAUCACACCCUCCUCCACCCCAACCGCCGAAAUGACUCCCGGAAGGAGCUAACCGCUGUGGGAAAUGCCCCGGAUAAAACUCCCGUGGAAACAGAAACUCGGGGCAGCAGCCUCCAGCAGAUUCUCUCCAGCCUCGGUUCUGUCCUCCAACCUGCCUGGUGAAUUCUUUCACAACCCGCGAGCGACCAUGACAUAACCACUUCUAAGUGUGCAACUCAGUGGCAUUUGGCCCAUUCAGCGGUGUGCGGCUGUCACCACCAUCUCCAUAAUUAUUUGUCACCUUCCCAGACUGAAACUGUCCCCAUUAAACACAACUCCCCAUUUCCCCCGCCACAUAGGCACCUCUGGCGCCAUCUACUUUCUGUCUCUGUGAGGUUGACUAUUCUGGGAAGCUCACGUAAGUAGAAUCGCAGCAUUUUUUCUUUUGAGACCAGAUUAUUUCACUGAGCACGUCUUCAAGGUCCAUCCCCAUUGGAGCCUGUGCCAGACUUUGUUCCUUUUUAAGGCUGAGCAGUGUUCCACUGUGGAGAGGCCACACUGUGUUUGUCCACUCAUCAAUCAGUGGAAACGUGGGUUGCUUCCACCUCUUGGCUACUGUGAAUAAUGCUGCUGUGAACAUGGGAGUAUGAAUAUCUUGUCAAAUCCCUGCUUUCAGUUUUUUGGGCAUAUACCCAGAAGUGGGAUUGUUGGAUCACCUCUGCAGGUUUUUAAGUUGGGAAGUGACAUGAUCUGAUUGACAUUUUUAAAAAAAUCACUGGACUUUGGGGAAUGAAUCUAUUCCUUAGAAAUACCCAGAUUUCUGCUGAAACAUGAUGUCUUAGACCCAUACAUUUAUGUUUCCCAGAAGACUGAUUACUAAAACAAUAGUAAAAAAAAUUAAAAAGGAAAAAAAGAAAAGACAAAUACACAAAGAUAUACUUGAGUCCUCAAAAAAAAAAAGCAGAGAGAUUGUUUGGCAAAAUUUUGGAAGCUGGAAAUCAGAUCUUUAUUGACCUGGGAAGAUAGGACACCAGUUGCCUGUACUGAGGGAAGGCAAGAAACAAGCUCAUUAGUCAGUGCGACUAGACAAGUGAGCCUGGGUAGUCACAGGCAUUGGCCUCACCUCUGAGGACAGGACGGUGGGUGGGGCUACACAGGAGGGCCAGCUGAAAAUCUGUAAGAGGUUGUCCUCUUCAUCCCCUCCAUCACCUGUACACACAGGUGGGUACUUCACCUCCAUCAUGGCAGAAAAUUAGAGAAAGUUCAUUCCAGAGGAUCUGAACCAGAAGGACUGGAUUUGAGACACCAGACAGCUAAGCCUGAGACGUAGUGGUAACAGUGACAUUAUGUGAAGGUCACAAAGUAAUAGCAGGACCUCUAACCCCUUUCCUUUAAUGAGUCACAAGAGUGUUGCCCCAGACUUACACCAUGCCCCCCUACAAGCACCAUCCUUCCCCCAGGCACAAAAUUCAACAAUUGCCCUCUGGGGAAACUGACCCGCCCAAGGGAAAAGGCAUCAGUUAUUGAGGACAGGUGACCCCCAACAAAACCUGGUCCCCACUUGGUCAGCACAUAGAGUUUCACUUGACAGGUGUGGCCCACAGACAUUUGAGGAAAUCUUGAUUGGGGAGGACAAAAAGCAAGAAAAAAACAGCUCUGCUGAGAUAGAGACAGCACAUGGAACAGAAGAAAAUUUCAGAAAAUACAUAACUAAGAUCCCAAGGGAUGUUGUAUCCAUGAAACACGGGUGGGAUGCUGUCAGGACAGAAUGUUCUAAGAAUGAGAAAAGGCCAGGGGGAGGAUGAAUAUAACCCAGCAAUGGGAGAGUAAGGAGAAA